rnacentral:snRNA from 1 species
GAUGUAUCUUGAUUCCAAGUUAA